rnacentral:rRNA from 1 species
AACGAACGCUGGCGGCAUGCCUAACACAUGCAAGUCGAACGAGACCUUCGGGUAUAGUGGCGCACGGGUGCGUAACGCGUGGGAACCUGCCCUUAGGUUCGGAAUAACUCCCCGAAAGGGGUGCUAAUACCGGAUAAUGUCUUCGGACCAAAGAUUUAUCGCCUUUGGAUGGGCCCGCGUUGGAUUAGCUAGUUGGUAGGGUAAAAGCCUACCAAGGCGACGAUCCAUAGCUGGUCUGAGAGGAUGAUCAGCCACACUGGGACUGAGACACGGCCCAGACUCCUACGGGAGGCAGGAGUGGGGAAUAUUGGACAAUGGGCGAAAGCCUGAUCCAGCAAUGCCGCGUGAGUGAUGAAGGCCUUAGGGUUGUAAAGCUCUUUUACCCGGGAUGAUAAUGACAGUACCGGGAGAAUAAGCUCCGGCUAACUCCGUG